UCCCUGGUGGUCCAGUGGUUAGGGCUUUCACUGCAAGAACCCAGGUUCGAUUCCUGGUCAGGGAA
rfam:TPA: Bos taurus chromosome 1, whole genome shotgun sequence.